rnacentral:rRNA from 1 species
UACGUAGGGUGCGAGCGUUGUCCGGAAUUAUUGGGCGUAAAGAGCUCGUAGGCGGUGUGUCACGUCGGCCGUGAAAACCUGCAGCUUAACUGUGGGCGUGCGGUCGAUACGGGCAUCACUGGAGUUCGGCAGGGGAGACUGGAAUUCCAGGUGUAGCGGUGAAAUGCGUAGAUAUCUGGAGGAACACCGGUGGCGAAGGCGGCAUCCUGGACCGACACUGACGCUGAGGCGCGAAAGCCAGGGGAGCAAACGGG